UUCAAGUUAUUUUGAAAGGAAAUGGUGCAAUUCGUCCCAAAGGAUAUUAUUUCUAAAUUUGGGGAUUGUGCAAUACCAGCGCAACUGAUCAAAAAUAGGGGCGGUGGUGGCGAACUUCAACUUCGCACGCAUCUCCAAUCUCUCCCAUACACUCCUCAUCAAGCGAGGGUUUUGCGCGAAGUCAUCUUGCUGUCCAACGGAUGCGGACGAGAGACAUCACGGAUCCUACCGCGUUGCGCGUUUAUGCUCAACAUGUUUGUGACAUUGAAGAAUAUCAGGUUCAGACCGUCUAGAGGCCUUGUGAUCCGACUGAGCCCUGGCUUUGUGGGAUAGUCUAGGACUCCAGCAUAAAGAUAAUGAGACAGUCACGAGUUGUUUGCCAGAUGGCUUCCAUGGAGUUUCUCAGCCUCCACCAAAUAGGGAAUUGCCAUUGACAGCAAGUAAACAACCAGAACACCAACUGCCGCCAAUGUGAACGUCUUAAGGUAGGAGCUAUCUUUGGUAGCAAGCGUCUCUGCUACAUUCAAAACUACGGAUGCAGUUAUCAGGUAAAAAACGACAUCCUCCUUACACUACCUCUCAAACUCUUUCACAACCCAAACUCAACUCUGACAAUCUUUAUCCCAAAUGUUGAAUUAACAUUGAAUGAAUGUAUUCUCACUGUAUACAUAUUAUCCGUAUAGGCUGGGUUAAAGGUCAUAAAGCAUCCAGUGACAGGUGGAAAUGAAGACCACACAGCCUGAUGAGAUCAAGUUGAAGAGGGAGGACAUAUUGAACUUGUGGGUCAUAGGUCAAAGGCUGAACUCUCUCCCUCUCCCCCGCUCUCUUUCACUCUCACCUUUCUCCUUCCCUCUACCCCACUAUUUCCUUAUUUGCAUCUCUCUAUCUCUCUCUCACACACACACACACACACACACACACACACAGCCUGGCUGUUAGUUUCUCCAUAUGUUUUGACUAUGUGCUACCUGAGCUGGUCUGUGCUGUGGGCCUGUGGCAGGUCUCUGGCAGGCAGCAGUAUCAGGUUGGAGGGAGGCUUGGUGGUCUGUGUGUGACAUGGAGAAGGGCCCACCGGCACCGCAGCAGCACCACUGAGGCCACCCUGCCAGGGCCUCUGCUUACAGUCACUGUGAGUUACGACCAUUGCUCCUCACUCACACACACACACACACACACACACACACACACAAGAUACACGCUGACAGUCGCAUACACACACACAGAGGCGAAUGGCCCCCCAUACUAGCAGCCAUACACACGCUGAGGCGAGACAUACUCCUACCAGGAGCUUAAGCCCUCUCUGAGAAAGCCCAUUCCCACUGGGCUUGUUAAAGACAGGCCAUGUAGAAAGAGCACAUUUAAAUCCCACACAUCAAAUACAGGGGCAAUGUAAUGUGUAGCUAAUAGCUCUCUGUGCAUUUACACACACACACACACACACACACACACUGAAUAACCCCACCAGGGGCCAGACACACAUAGAUGAAUGAUCCUUAACAGAGGACACACACACAAACUCCCACUCCCAAAGCCCUUAAUCACAGGCGUGUACAGGCCCAGCAUACAUGUUUAUGUCCACAGAUCAAUCCAGCUGAUCCAGCAGCAGCCCGACCUUUACCUGACAGAUCAACAAAGCUCUCUCUCUCUCUCUCUCUCUCCCUCUCUGAAAUGCUUUACUUUAAAACGUAAGCUUUUGCUAAUUAAAUCAAUGCAAUUGUCUUGUUGUUUGUUCUACAGCAAGGAGAAAAUCCCCGGAAGGUGUAUAUGUGUUUUUAGUGUAGUCGCGGGUGUUGUGUGCAUAUGUGUAUUUGUGUGUGUCUGAAUGUAAUACAGUAUCUCAUGCAACAAUCACAGGAUGGAAUGCUCCUUGGUCCACAGGAGAGGAUGGAUGGAGAGAGGCUGGAUGGAGAGAGGCUGGAUGGAGAGAGGCUGGAUGGAGACUAAAGAUGGAUGGAUGGAGGAUAAAGAGAUGGAUGGAGAAAGGAUGGAUGGAGAGAGGCGUGGGUGUGGAUGAAUGGUCCCAGGGAGGUGAGCGGAGGCCCUGCAGUACUAAAAGCCGGCGACUCAGACCAUACACACCCACUCACAGGGACCUAACACCACUCACAGGAUUGCUCCCUGGUCCACUGCUCCCACAUGCUAAAACACUUACAUACAAUACACACACACAAAGAUGGCAAAAUGCUAAAUGUGAAGUUCCAAGCACAUUCAAAAUACAUUCCCGAGACACAGACUACCAGUCAGUCAGAGACAUAAACACACGUUCUUGUGUGUGUGUUGUUGCCAUGCGAUGGUGAUGAGCAGCACAUGACAUGAAUGGGGCGUGGAGCUCAACCUCUUAUCAGACAAAGGAGAUACACAGAGAGGAGGGGGGAGAGAAGGAUGGGAGGGGGAGAGGAG